rnacentral:rRNA from 1 species
UACAGAGGGUGCGAGCGUUAAUCGGAAUUACUGGGCGUAAAGCGUGCGUAGGUGGUUCGUUAAGUCUGCCGUGAAAGCCCCGGGCUCAACCUGGGAAUGGCGGUGGAUACUGGCGGACUAGAGUGCGGUAGAGGGUGGUGGAAUUCCCGGUGUAGCAGUGAAAUGCGUAGAGAUCGGGAGGAACAUCUGUGGCGAAGGCGGCCACCUGGACCAGCACUGACACUGAGGCACGAAAGCGUGGGGAGCAAACAGG